AUGGACCUACCAACAAUGUUCUCGAUUGGAAGCGGACCCCUGAAUGACACAAAAACAACAAAGAUGUUAGUCAGCUUUCGGAGAGAAUUUCUCCGGCGAGGGUAGAAUAAACAGAAACAGGUGAGUUUCUAGGUUUUGUGAAAUCGGAAUAGAGAUUCCGAUUGCGAAAGCCGCCGGAACGUUCGAGAUCGGGUUUCGGGUUGGAUCCAAAGAGGCGUAACUCGGAUAGCCAUAACGAAGAAUUGGAUUAGGUUGAUUAAGAAAAGGUACAGUGUGGUUUCGGAGUGAAAGAUUUGGGAAGGGUGAAACCCUAGCAAGUGAGAUAAGCCAUUUUGUGAGAAGAAUUCGUUGAACGGAUCAAGGUAGGGUUGAAUUGAAGGGUAGUUAGGGAAUCAGGGAAGAGAAGCGCCGCCGGCGGUGAUGUAACUCCUCCGGUAAUCGGAGGAGGAUAGAGAAAGCUACGUCGUUUUGAUGAAUUGAGAAGAGAGGGAUAGAGAGAGAAGAGAGAGGACGUAUAUUUUUUUUGAAUUGAAUUGGGAAUGGUUGAAAACAGGAAAAAAUGGAUUUUUAGGAUUUAAAAAGGAAAGACUGCGACUGGUAGGUAGUUACUUACUACUCACCUUCUCUUUUCAUUACC
rnacentral:lncRNA from 1 species